CAGCAGCCGCCGCGGGAAUACGUAGGUGGCAAGCGUUGUCCGGAAUUAUUGGGCGUAAAGGGCUCGCAGGCGGUUUCUUAAGUCUGAUGUGAAAGCCCCCGGCUCAACCGGGGAGGGUCAUUGGAAACUGGGAAACUUGAGUGCAGAAGAGGAGAGUGGAAUUCCACGUGUAGCGGUGAAAUGCGUAGAGAUGUGGAGGAACACCAGUGGCGAAGGCGACUCUCUGGUCUGUAACUGACGCUGAGGAGCGAAAGCGUGGGGAGCGAACAGGAUUAGAGACCCCGGUAGUCCCUGUCUCUUAUAC
rnacentral:rRNA from 1 species